rnacentral:rRNA from 1 species
CAGUCGCCACGGAAUACGAGGGGGGCAAGCGUUGUUCGGAAUUAUUGGGCGUAAAGGGUGCGUAGGCGGUUUGAUAAGUCUUAUGUGAAAGCCCCCGGCUCAACCUCGGAACUGCCUUCAAUACUGGCGAUCUUGAGUAUGAGAGAGGUGUGUGGAACUCCGAGUGUAGAGGUGAAAUUCGUAGAUAUUCGGAAGAACACCAGUGGCGAAGGCGACACACUGGCUCAUUACUGACGCUGAGGCUCGAAAGCGUGGGGAGCAAACAGGAUUAGAUACCCGCGUAGUCCCUGUCUCUUAUACA